rnacentral:rRNA from 1 species
CGUGCCAACGGCAUAGCUGGGUAGCUAUGUGUGGACGGGAUAAGUGCUGAAAGCAUCUAAGCAUGAAGCCCCCCUCAAGAUGAGAUUUCCCAACUUCGGUUAUAAGAUCCCUCAAAGAUGAUGAGGUUAAUAGGUUCGAGGUGGAAGCAUGGUGACAUGUGGAGCUGACGAAUACUAAUCGAUCGAAGACUUAAUCAAAA